rfam:Gossypium hirsutum cultivar TM-1 unplaced genomic scaffold scaffold26.1, whole genome shotgun sequence
UGUUAAAAAAUUCAUCCAUUUCUACUACUAAAAACAAACAUAACUAUCAGUAUAACCAAACAAUUUUACGUGGUAUGCCACAUGUACCUCAUUAUAAUGUACAAGGAUCAAUUUUUAACAAUAAAAAUGGCUAAAAUUUUUAAUA